rnacentral:rRNA from 1 species
CAGCCGCCACGGUAAUACGUAGGGUGCGAGCGUUAAUCGGAAUUACUGGGCGUAAAGCGUGCGCAGGCGGUUCGUUAAGACAGAUGUGAAAUCCCCGGGCUUAACCUGGGAACUGCAUUUGUGACUGGCGAGCUAGAGUAUGGCAGAGGGGGGUAGAAUUCCACGUGUAGCAGUGAAAUGCGUAGAGAUGUGGAGGAAUACCGAUGGCGAAGGCAGCCCCCUGGGCCAAUACUGACGCUCAUGCACGAAAGCGUGGGGAGCAAACAGGAUUAGAGACCCCUGUAGUCCCUGUCUCUUAUAC